rnacentral:lncRNA from 1 species
CCUGGCCUGGACGGGACGCUCCUGCCGCCCUCCUGCAGCGCGGACCUCAGGUCUGCUGAGCACCACCUGAGGACGGGCACUGGCGCAUGCGCCCCAUAGAAGUGAUGGAGACACAGAGGACCUGCUCCAGGCGGGGCUUCAGCGUGUGGGUUCGCGGGUCCUGGGAGCCGAGAGAAGGCGCCUGUUUCUUCGGGUCUGACGGGCACAAGCCGAAUCUCCCCACGAGGUGCUCGUGUGCCCAGGUGCCGGCGUACAGGGCCCGAUGCCAGACGUUUCUGCAUCUCCUACCUCCUCCCCCUAGCUUCUCCCCUUUCGCGGGUGGCCCAGGUGCGUGGGGGCAUCGGCAGGGGAGGGGCCAGGGCCUAAGAAGUCUGCAGGGGUCGGCGGUGAAGGGCAGGGAGCCGCAGCCCCGAGCCCCCGCGCAAGGGUAGAGAUCUGAAGUCUAAGGCGGUCUCUGCGUGACCUUGGGCGAGUCAUUCCCCUCGGGAGCCUCAGCUGGCUCGCCCGUCAAGUGGGAACGCAGCGGCCGCACUUGGCGGGUUGCCCGCGGUGGAGCGCGGAGCUCGGCGGGGCGCCGGGACGAGGUGAGGAGGGGUCCAGCCGCCCAGGGGGAGUCGGGGGGCCGCGGGCGUCCCCGGGCGGGCGCUGGGGGGCGCUGCGCGCCGGGCGGCUCGCCCCGCGGCAAGUUUGCCUCCAGCUGUUGAAUGCGCCCGCGACGGCGACGGCGACGGCGACGGCGGCGGCGGGACCCGGAGCCCGCGGGGUGAGCGGGGCGGGGGGCCGGGCGGGGCCGGGGCUCGGCGCUCCCCGCGGCCGCCGCCGCCGCCUCCCCGGGCGCUGCAGCUGCGGCGUUGGAGCCGGGCGGGCCCCCGCCCCGCGGCCGCGUGUCUGCGUGCGCGCGUGUCUGUGGAAGGAUCGGGCCGGGGGAGGGGGGCGGGCGGGGUCUCGCUGCGGACGCGCCUGCGGACGGACGGACGGACAGACCGCGGGCCGCGGCCCCUGACGCACGCUGCGCUCCCACCCCGGCGGCGGCGGCGGCCCGGGCCGGGCGGGGGCGGGUCGGGGGCGGGGGCGGGGGCGGCGGCGUCUGCGCGCACACGCGGGCUCGCAGACACACACACACGCACACGCGGGCCACGCCGCGCACACCCGCACCCGCGCCCGCGCUCACACUCACUCACACUCACACUCGCGCGCAGGCCCCGCAGCCGCCGCCGCCUCCGGAAGCGGCGCUCGGCCCGGAUCCCGGCCGGCCUGGAGAAGGAGAAGACCUGGGUGAGAAGCUGCUGCCGCCUGAGCCAGACUGGGACCGAGACCCCGUUGCUCCUGCUGCCGCUGCCAGCGCAGGGCCUCCCUGAGACCAGGCCAGGGAUAGACCUCGUGGGCCGGAGGGGCCCCCUUAGCCUGCAGACAUCGGAGCCAGGAGACAGAUGGGUCUCUUCCUUCCUGUCCUGUCUCUCAAGCUCCCUCCUCAGAGCUUCAUUCUCCAGCCUCCUGUGGGAAUCGUGGGAAUCGUCUGAAGUUUGAGCCUAGAACCAGAGGAGGAGGAGGAGGAGGAGGAAGAAGACAAGGAAGAGGAGGAGGAGGAGGGAGAGGAAGUCUUGAGAGCCCGUGCACCUUUCCAGAAACAGGCGGUGGGGGUGCGUCCCAGGCCCAUCCUCGGUGGCCCACGCCUGCCAGUAGCACCCCUGAGAGGACCCCCCCCCCCCCCGCCGCCCUCUACCGCGGUUGGCACCUGCCGCGUCUGCUCCCUCGGGGGGACCCCUGUGCCGGGGGUCGCCCCCAAGAUGGUGGCGGCCCCAGGGAGGACUGUGCCGCCAGCCCCAGCUUCCCGCUGCUAGGUCCCCUGUGCCCCGGGCCCCCCUUACCCCAAGCCCGGCCUUCCA